UGCAGUCGACGCUUCUUUCCUCCCGAGUGCUUGCACUCAAUUGGAAAGAGGAGUGGCGGACGGGUGAGUAACACGUGGGUAACCUACCCAUCAGAGGGGGAUAACACUUGGAAACAGGUGCUAGAUACCGCAUAACAGUUUAUGCCGCAUGGCAUAANAGUGAAAGGCGCUUUCGGGUGUCGCUGAUGGAUGGACCCGCGGUGCAUUAGCUAGUUGGUGAGGUAACGGCUCACCAAGGCCAC
rnacentral:rRNA from 1 species